GGAAGUGUGGUCUAGAGGUAUGAUUCUCGCUUUGGGCAACCAAAUUUGCGAGAGGUCCGGGGUUCAAUCCCCCGCUCUUCCC